rnacentral:rRNA from 1 species
GAUGAACGCUGGCGGCGUGCCUAAUACAUGCUAGUCGAGCGAACAGAUAAGGAGCUUGCUCCUUUGACGUUAGCGGCGGACGGGUGAGUUACACGUGGAUAACCUACCUAUAAGACUGGGAUAACUUCGGGAAACCGGAGCUAAUACCGGAUAACAUAUUGAACCGCAUGGUUCAAUAGUGAAAGGCGGCUUUGCUGUCACUUAUAGAUGGAUCCGCGCCGUAUUAGCUAGUUGGUAAGGUAACGGCUUACCAAGGCAACGAUACGUAGCCGACCUGAGAGGGUGAUCGGCCACACUGGAACUGAGACACGGUCCAGACUCCUACGGGAGGCAGCAGUAGGGAAUCUUCCGCAAAGGGCGAAAGCCUGACGGAGCAACGCCGCGUGAGUGAUGAAGGUCUUCGGAUCGUAAAACUCUGUUAUCAGGGAAGAACAAAUGUGUAAGUAACUGUGCACAUCUUGACGGUACCUGAUCAGAAAGCCACGGCUAACUACGUG